CCAGGGGGGGAAAUCAGCUGGAGAACCGAUUGUUCUUUGUGAAAGGAAGGAAGGCAACUGGAUCACACUUCAGAGGACGAGAGGAAGAAAACACACAUGCAUGUUACAGCUAGGAAUAAAGGAAGAGAGGUAUUACGAGCCUGCUGCUAAGCAAGUUUUAAUCGAAACAAAAAGUGUGGAGGAGAAGACUAACUGCUAUGUUGGGAUUUUAAAAUAACUAUUGCAAUGAAAAAAUGUGUAAGAGCAAGACGUUUUGGAAGAAAAAUGCAAUGUGUGAAGAAAGGAAAAAAAGGGAUCAAACCCAAGGCCUUGCAUUGCUAGGCAACCACUCUACCACUAAGCUACAACCCAAGCCCUGGAUGAGCAACACAGACAUCCAGAGCAAGAAAUGCCGCCCUGGGCAAAGAUAGCUGUGACCAUGGAUUUGCUAGUAGGUCUGGUGAAGACCGGAGUCCAUCAUGCAUGAGAACAGGGAGGCAGGGAGCUGUCUUUGCAGGAAUAAGAUCCGUCCUGUUAGAGGCUGUGUCAGCUCCAUUAACACAAAGCUCCACGUCUAGGAAAUCAAAGUCCCUGAAGACUCUGAACUGCUGCUCGCUGUUUGCGUCAUCCAUGUUCUCCUGCUCCCGGGUGCCGUCCUCAGAAGACACCAGGCUCGUCUGAUGCUCCAGCAGAUCCAGGUCCCCACACGAGGAAAAAAUCACCUACGGACCCAAAGAGUCCUCUCCUGAGAAGCUGGGCUCUCCUCAGUUGUUUGUGCUACACGAAACGGUGCCUUCGGAUUAAACUCGUCGCAAGACGUAAAUUCAUGCACCAGGAAAAUGUUCAAGAGUUAAAUCACCGGCUCUUAAUGGAUGAAGGUGGAACACUACCUGGGUGUGUGUGUGAGAGACAAACAACUGAGAUACGCUCACAGACAAACUCGUGACUAAGAACUUUCCACUCCUGAGCUGACUGGGAUUAGAAAUCACACACGUUCACACCCUCCCUAGAACUGCAGAAGAGUAGCCGAACACCAUUCCUACAAUUUGUAUACACAUACAUCCCUACCAUGUUGCUUUAAAACAGUCAAAGCAUUUCUUCUGUUACAAUCUUUACUAUGUUAAUGUUUUAAAAUUAACUUCUCAGCUGGGCAUGUGGCACACGCCUAUAAUCCCAGCAUAUGCCUACAA